rnacentral:tRNA from 1 species
GGGGACGUAGCUUAGUGGCAGUGCGCUUGCUUUGAUCGUAUGAGGUCCCGGGGUCAAAUCCCGGCAUCUACA